UAAACAGAAGUGAAAGAAUGCAACAGAUCAAAAAUUAAUUAAUGAACAAGUAAACAAAUUAAGAAAAAUAUCAAAUCAAAAUCUAGCUUUAUUUGUAUAGCACAUUUCAGCAGCAAGGCAUUUCAAAGUGCUUCACAUCAAAUCAAACACAAAAAUACAAUGCAAUAUAUGCACAAAUAACUCAUAGAAACAAAUAGAUAAUGAGAAAAAGCACAACAUUUAUUUUGUAUACAAAUUUUUGUUUUUGAACACACGAAAUAACUUGCUACCAGCACGGAAUUGGGUAGUAAAAGCAAAGUUUAGCCUUUAUUCUUUUUUUUUUUUUUAUCAACUUUCUAUUCUAACUGACAUCUGCAAGUGAAAGGAUAAAAUAUUUUCAAGAUAAAAUGGUCUGUGGGAUGUGAAUGCAUAAAUAUGCACUUAUACGUGGGACAAGAUUUUUUGGCAGAAUGAAUGAUUUGUGGAAAUGAAAAUAAAACUUGGGUUAAUAUUUGGUUUCUACACAGGAUUCAAAUUAUAGCUGCUGAGGAUGUAGACAAAUACAGCACUAUUUGUUGUGAUGUCUUAAUUUUGGGGUUUUUUUGCUGCUAAACUUUGAUGUUUUUCAACAGUACAAGAAAGUUGUUGUCUGCAUUGAAUUGCUGAAGGUGAAUGAAACUCAAUUAUAUUUUCUUUUCCUACUCAGGUUCAGACUUUAUAAUCAUUUUAUUCUCGGAAAUGGUUGUUAUUUGAGAUUUGAAGAUGUCCUGAGCGUCAUUAAACUGGAAUCAGCUUUAGGACAAACGGCCUUGUUUGCCUUUACACUUACAUUAGUAUUCUGGCAUUUCCCACCAGCAUCCUUAUAAAUGGACGGUCUCUCGUCGGCACCUAUUCCACGCUGGUCGGCACGGUUUGUGGAGUGAAACGCU